rnacentral:rRNA from 1 species
AACGAACGCUGGCGGCAGGCUUAACACAUGCAAGUCGAGCGCCCCGCAAGGGGAGCGGCAGACGGGUGAGUAACGCGUGGGAAUCUACCCAUCUCUACGGAAUAACGCAUGGAAACGUGUGCUAAUACCGUAUACGUCCUUCGGGAGAAAGAUUUAUCGGAGAUGGAUGAGCCCGCGUUGGAUUAGCGAGGUGGUGGGGUAAAGGCCUACCAAGGCGACGAUCCAUAGCUGGCCUGAGAGGCUGAUCAGCCACACUGGGACUGAAACCCGGCCCAGCCUCCUACGGGAGGCAGCAGUGGGGAAUAUUGGACAAUGGGCGCAAGCUUGAUCCAGCCAUGCCGCGUGAGUGAUGAAGGCCCUAGGGUUGUAAAGCUCUUUCACCGGUGAAGAUAAUGACGGUAACCGGAGAAGAAGCCCCGGCUAACUUCGUGCCAGCCGCCGCUGUAAUAC